rnacentral:rRNA from 1 species
UACGAAGGGAGCUAGCGUUGUUCGGAAUCACUGGGCGUAAAGCGCACGUAGGCGGAUGUGUCAGUCAGGGGUGAAAUCCCGGAGCUCAACUUCGGAACUGCCUUUGAUACAGCACGUCUUGAGUCCGAUAGAGGUGGGUGGAAUUCCUAGUGUAGAGGUGAAAUGCGUAGAUAUCGGGAAGGAAACAUCAGUGGCGAAAGCGACUUCCUGGACCAAUACUGACGCUCAUGGUGCGAAAAGCGUGGGGAGCAAACAGG